UGAGAAACCCUGAUGCAGCGACGCCUCACGAAUGAUGAAGUAUUUCACUUUGUUAACUUCUAUCAACAGGGAAGAAAAUGACCGGACCUGACUAAAAAACCCCAGCUAACUACGUGCCACCCCCCGCCGUAAUACGUAGGGGGCAAGCGUAAUCCAGAUUUACUGGGAGUUAAGGGAGCGUAAACGACAGUGCAAGUCUGAAUGAAAGUCAGUGGCUCAACUCUGGGACUGAUUUGAAAACUGUGCAGCUAGAGUGUCAGAGAGGCAAGCAGUAUUCGUAGUGUAGAGUUGAAAUGUGUAGAUAUUAGGAUGAGCAUCAGUGAAGAAGUCGGCUUGCUAGACGAUGUCUGACGAUGAGACUCGACAGCGUGGCGAGCAAGCAGGAUUAGAUACCAUGGUAGUACACGCUGUUAGUGAUGACUAUUAGGGGUGGAGGAGCAAAGCUUUUGGGAGCCGCAGACAACGCAAUAAGUAGUCCACAUGGGGAGUACGUUGGCAAGAAUGAAAAUCAAAGGAAUUGAAGAGGAUCCGCACAAGCGGUGGAGCAUGUGGUUUAAUUCGAAGCAACGCGAAGAUCCUUGCGUACUCUUGACAUCCCUUUGACCGCUGUGUAAUGGGAGCUUUCCUUCGGAACAGAGGAGACAGGUGGUGCAUGGUUGUCGUCAGCUUGUGUAGUGAGAUGUUGGAGUAAUUGCCGCAACGAGCACAACGAGUAUAUUCAGUAUCCAGAGGCAAGACCGGGCAAUGUGGAGAGAUUGCCAGGGAUAACCGGGAGGAAGGUGGGGAUGAGGUCAAAUCAUCAUACUCAUUAUGAGCAGGGCUUCACACGUGAUACAAUGGCGUAAACAAAGGGAAGCAGAGUCGUGAGGCGGAGCAAAUUCCAAAAAUAACGUAUCAGUUUGGAAUGUAGUAUGCAACUCGACUACAUGAAGUUGGAAUCGUUAGUAAUCGAGAAUCAGAAUGUCACGGUGAAUACGUUGCCGGGUUUUGUACACACCGCCCGUCACACCAUGGGAGUCAGUAACGCCGGAAGUCAGUGAACCAACCGCAAGGAGGGAUCUUCCGAAGGUGGGACCGAUAA
rnacentral:rRNA from 1 species